rnacentral:rRNA from 1 species
CCUACGAGAGGCAGCAGUGGGGAAUAUUGCACAAUGGGCGAAAGCCUGAUGCAGCAACGCCGCGUGAAGGAAGACGGUUUUCGGAUUGUAAACUUCUAUCAAUAGGGAAGAAAGAAAUGACGGUAACUAAAUAAGAAGCCCAGGCUAACUACGUGCCAGCAGCCGAGGUAAUACGUAGGGGGCAAGAGUUAUCCGGAAUUACUGGGUGUAAAGGGAGAGUAGGCGGCAAGGUAAGCGUAAUGUGAAAGCCUUAAGCUUAACUUAAGGAUUGCAUAACGAACUAUCAAGCUAGAGUACAGGAGAGGAGAGGGGAAUUCCUUGUGUAGCGGUGAAAUGCGUAGAUAUUUGGAAGAACACCAGUGGCGAAAGCGGCUUUCUGGACUGUAACUGACGCUGAGGCUCGAAAGCGUGGGGAGCGAACAGGAUUAGAUACCCCUGUAGUC